UACGUAGGGCGCAAGCGUUGUCCGGAAUUAUUGGGCGUAAAGAGCUCGUAGGCGGUUUGUCGCGUCUGCUGUGAAAACUCGAGGCUCAACCUCGGGCUUGCAGUGGGUACGGGCAGACUAGAGUGCGGUAGGGGUGACUGGAAUUCCUGGUGUAGCGGUGGAAUGCGCAGAUAUCAGGAGGAACACCGAUGGCGAAGGCAGGUCACUGGGCCGCAACUGACGCUGAGGCGCGAAAGCCAGGGGAGCAAACGGG
rnacentral:rRNA from 1 species